rnacentral:rRNA from 1 species
UACGUAGGGUGCGAGCGUUGUCCGGAAUUAUUGGGCGUAAAGAGCUCGUAGGCGGUUUGUCGCGUCGGCCGUGAAAACUUGGGGCUUAACCCCAAGCCUGCGGUCGAUACGGGCAGACUUGAGUUCGGCAGGGGAGACUGGAAUUCCUGGUGUAGCGGUGAAAUGCGCAGAUAUCAGGAGGAACACCGGUGGCGAAGGCGGGUCUCUGGGCCGAAACUGACGCUGAGGAGCGAAAGCGUGGGGAGCAAACAGG